rnacentral:rRNA from 1 species
UACGGGGGGAGCAAGCGUUGUUCGGAUUUACUGGGCGUAAAGGGCGCGUAGGCGGCACCGCAAGUCGGUUGUGAAAUCUCCGGGCUUAACUCGGAAAGGUCAACUGAUACUGCGGAGCUAGAGUGCGGAAGGGGCAACUGGAAUUCCCGGUGUAGCGGUGAAAUGCGUAGAUAUCGAGAGGAACACCUGCGGCGAAGGCGGGUUGCUGGGCCGACACUGACGCUGAGGCGCGAAAGCGUGGGGAGCAAACAGG